rnacentral:rRNA from 1 species
UACGGAGGGUGCGAGCGUUGUCCGGAAUCACUGGGCGUAAAGGGCGCGUAGGCGGCCUGAUAAGUAGGGGGUGAAAUCCUGCGGCUUAACCGCAGGGCUGCCUUCUAAACUGUCAGGCUCGAGCACAGUAGAGGCAGGUGGAAUUCCCGGUGUAGCGGUGGAAUGCGUAGAGAUCGGGAAGAACAUCAGUGGCGAAGGCGGCCUGCUGGGCUGUUGCUGACGCUGAGGCGCGACAGCGUGGGGGGCAAACAGG